rnacentral:rRNA from 1 species
GGGAGGCAGCAGCAGGGAAUCUUGCGCAAUGGGCGAAAGCUGCACGCAGCGACGCCGCGUGGGGGAAGAAGGCCUUCGGGUUGUAAACCCUUUUCUGGGGGAAGAGUAAGGACGGUACCCCAGGAAUAAGCCUCGGCUAACUACGUGCCAGCAGCCGCGGUAAUACGUAGGAGGCUAGCGUUGUCCGGAUUUACUGGGCGUAAAGGGCGUGUAGGCGGCUUGGGAAGUCCCUUGUGAAAUCUCCCGGCUCAACCGGGAGGCGUCGAGGGAUACUUCCAGGCUAGAGGGCAGUAGAGGAGAGUGGAAUUCCCGGUGUAGUGGUGAAAUGCGUAGAUAUCGGGAGGAACACCCGUGGCGAAAGCGGCUCUCUGGGCUGUACCUGACGCUGAGGCGCGAAAGCGUGGGGAGCAAACCGGAUUAGAUACCCGGGUAGUCACGCCUUAAACGAUGGAUGCUGGGUAUGGGAGGUAUCGACCCCCCCUGUGCCGAAGCUAACGCGUUAAGCAUCCCGCCUGGGGACUACGGSCG